GAUGAACGCUGGCGGCGUGCCUAAUACAUGCAAGUCGAGCGAACAGAUGAGGAGCUUGCUCCUCUGACGUUAGCGGCGGACGGGUGAGUAACACGUGGAUAACCUACCUAUAAGACUGGGAUAACUUCGGGAAACCGGAGCUAAUACCGGAUAAUAUAUUGAACCGCAUGGUUCAAUAGUGAAAGACGGUUUUGCUGUCACUUAUAGAUGGAUCCGCGCCGCAUUAGCUAUUUGGUAAGGUAACGGCUUACCAAGGCAACGAUGCGUAGCCGACCUGAGAGGGUGAUCGUCCACACUGGAACUGAGACACGGUCCAGACUCCUACGGGAGGCAGCAGUAGGGAAUCUUCCGCAAUGGGCGAAAGCCUGACGGAGCAACGCCGCGUGAGUGAUGAAGGUCUUCGGAUCGUAAAACUCUGUUAUUAGGGAAGAACAAAUGUGUAAGUAACUAUGCACGUCUUGACGGUACCUAAUCAGAAAGCCACGGCUAACUACGUG
rnacentral:rRNA from 1 species